CACGUAGGGUGCGAGCGUUUGUCCGGAAUUAUUGGGCGUAAAGAGCUCGUAGGCGGUGUGUCGCGUCGGCCGUGAAAACCUGCAGCUUAACUGUGGGCUUGCGGUCGAUACGGGCAUCACUGGAGUUCGGCAGGGGAGACUGGAAUUCCUGGUGUAGCGGUGAAAUGCGCAGAUAUCAGGAGGAACACCGGUGGCGAAGGCGGGUCUCUGGGCCGAUACUGACGCUGAGGAGCGAAAGCAUGGGGAGCGAACAGG
rnacentral:rRNA from 1 species